GGGCAUGGCUUUGUGGAUGAACAAAUAGGAAGUCAAAGCAUCUACAACCGGGGUCCCUCAAAUCCUCCUCAAAUGCCCGGGACGGCCGUCCGGUCACUGUCCGGUCAUAAAAAAUCGAUCCAGACAGGCCUCUCAAACCGAACCCAAACGUCCGAGCUGACCGGCACCCUCCGUUUCCAGCCCAAAUAUGGGACGGAUAUGCGGAAGCCCGGGCGUGCCCGCUUGGCCCGCAUCUAUCCCACAUAUAUUCAUCCCCAUCCGCUCGUGGGACCAAACCCUAGCCACUUCACUCCACU
rnacentral:lncRNA from 1 species